GACGAACGCUGGCGGCGUGCCUAAUACAUGCAAGUCGAGCGGACGAAUCGAAAGCUUGCUUUUGAUUCGUUAGCGGCGGACGGGUGAGUAACACGUGGGCAACCUGCCCUGUAGACGGGGAUAACACCGAGAAAUCGGUGCUAAUACCGGAUAACACGAAAUGUCGCAUGACGUUUCGUUGAAAGACGGCGCAAGCUGUCGCUAUAGGAUGGGCCCGCGGCGCAUUAGCUAGUUGGUGAGGUAACGGCUCACCAAGGCGACGAUGCGUAGCCGACCUGAGAGGGUGAUCGGCCACACUGGGACUGAGACACGGCCCAGACUCCUACGGGAGGCAGCAGUAGGGAAUCUUCCGCAAUGGACGAAAGUCUGACGGAGCAACGCCGCGUGAGCGAAGAAGGCCUUCGGGUCGUAAAGCUCUGUUGUUAGGGAAGAACAAGUAACGCAGUAACUGGCGUUACCAUGACGGUACCUAACGAGAAAGCCACGGCUAACUACGUG
rnacentral:rRNA from 1 species